rnacentral:rRNA from 1 species
UACGGAGGGUGCAAGCGUUGUCCGGAUUUAUUGGGCUUAAAGGGUGCGUAGGCGGCUCUGUAAGUCAGUGGUGAAAGCCUCCAGCUCAACUGGAGAACUGCCAUUGAUACUGCAGGGCUUGAGUACAGACGAGGUUGGCGGAAUUGAUAGUGUAGCGGUGAAAUGCAUAGAUACUAUCAAGAACUCCGAUUGCGUAGGCAGCUAACUAGGCUGUAACUGACGCUGAGGCACGAAAGCGUGGGGAGCAAACAGG